rnacentral:rRNA from 1 species
AUUGAACGCUGGCGGCAUGCCUUACACAUGCAAGUCGAACGGUAACAGGUCUUCGGAUGCUGACGAAUGGCGAACGGGUGAGUAAUACAUCGGAACGUGCCUAGUUGUGGGGGAUAACUACUCGAAAGAGUGGCUAAUACCGCAUGAGAUCUACGGAUGAAAGCAGGGGAUCGCAAGACCUUGUGCUACUAGAGCGGCCGAUGGCAGAUUAGGUAGUUGGUGGGAUAAAAGCUUACCAAGCCGACGAUCUGUAGCUGGUCUGAGAGGACGAUCAGCCACACUGGGACUGAGACACGGCCCAGACUCCUACGGGAGGCAGCAGUGGGGAAUUUUGGACAAUGGGCGAAAGCCUAAUCCAGCAAUGCCGCGUGCAGGAUGAAGGCCUUCGGGUUGUAAACUGCUUUUGUACGGAACGAAAAGCCCCGGGUUAAUACCCUGGGGUCAUGACGGUACCGUAAGAAUAAGCACCGGCUAACUACGUGCCAGCCGCCGCGGUAA